rnacentral:rRNA from 1 species
ACGGGAGGCAGCAGUGGGGAAUAUUGGGCAAUGGGCGAAAGCCUGACCCAGCAACGCCGCGUGAAGGAAGAAGGUCUUCGGAUUGUAAACUUCUUUUAUGAGGGACAAAGGACGUGACGGUACCUCAUGAAUAAGCCACGGCUAACUACGUGCCAGCAGCCGCGGUAAUACGUAGGUGGCGAGCGUUAUCCGGACUUACUGGGUGUAAAGGGAGCGCAGGCGGGAAAUCAAGUUGGAUGUGAAAUGUCGGGGCUUAACCCCGGAACUGCAUCCAAAACUGAUUUUCUUGAGUGAAGUAGAGGUAGGCGGAAUUCCGAGUGUAGCGGUGAAAUGCGUAGAUAUUCGGAGGAACACCAGUGGCGAAGGCGGCCUACUGGGCUUUAACUGACGCUGAGGCUCGAAAGUGUGGGGAGCAAACAGGAUUAGAUACCCUGGUA